rnacentral:rRNA from 1 species
AGUGAACGCUGGCGGUAGGCCUAACACAUGCAAGUCGAACGGCAGCACAGUAAGAGCUUGCUCUUACGGGUGGCGAGUGGCGGACGGGUGAGGAAUACAUCGGAAUCUACUUUUUCGUGGGGGAUAACGUAGGGAAACUUACGCUAAUACCGCAUACGACCUACGGGUGAAAGCAGGGGAUCUUCGGACCUUGCGCGAUUGAAUGAGCCGAUGUCGGAUUAGCUAGUUGGCGGGGUAAAGGCCCACCAAGGCGACGAUCCGUAGCUGGUCUGAGAGGAUGAACGGCCACAUCGGGCCUGAGAUACGGACAAGAGUCGUAGGGGAGGCAGGAGUGGGGAAUAUUGAACAAUGGGCGGAAGCCUGAUGAAGGCACGCGGCGUUAGGGAUGACGGCCUUCGGGUGAUAAAACGCUUUCGCCUGUGACGCAGCGUGAGUGACGGUAAUGUGUAAAGAAGCACCGGCUAACUACGUG